rnacentral:siRNA from 1 species
CUCUAGUCCAAGUGGUCAUCUAGU